AAAUCCAAAUCGAGUGAUUCAAAGUUCCACAGAUCAAGAUCUGGUCAGAUCUGACUUUGUCGAAUUAAACCAGGAGCUUGGAAACGAAUUUUUGAAUGAAACCAGUUGGGGGAUGUUUGGUUCAUACCAUGGUGAUAACCGAGAGAGGCAAUUGCUAAGUGGUGAUACUCUCAUACCCUUACUAGAUGCGAACAAUUCCGGAGAAGAAGAAGAAGUGGUUCGGACAAGGAUUUUAUUUAUAUUGACGGGAUUCUUAUAUUGAUGAAGUUGAAGAAGUCCAGGGACAAAUAAGCCAA